UACGAAGGGGGCUAGCGUUGCUCGGAAUCACUGGGCGUAAAGGGCUCGUAGGCGGCCCACUAAGUCAGACGUGAAAUCCCCAGGCUCAACCUGGGAACUGCGUCUGAUACUGGAUGGCUUGAAUCCGGGAGAGGGAUGCAGAAUUCCAGGUGUAGCGGUGAAAUGCGUAGAUAUCUGGAGGAAUACCGGUGGCGAAGGCGGCAUCCUGGACCGGCAUUGACGCUGAUGAGCGAAAGCUAGGGGAGCAAACGGG
rnacentral:rRNA from 1 species